UACGGAGGGUGCGAGCGUUGUCCGGAAUCACUGGGCGUAAAGGGCGCGUCGGCGGCCUGAUAAGUAGGGGGUGAAAUCCUGCGGCUUAACCGCAGGGCUGCCUUCUAAACUGUCAGGCUAGAGCACGGUAGAGGCAGAUGGAAUUCCCGGUGUAGCGGUGGAAUGCGUAGAGAUCGGGAAGAACAUCAGUGGCGAAGGCGGUCUGCUGGGCCGUUGCUGACGCUGAGGGACGAAAGCUAGGGGAGCGAAUGGG
rnacentral:rRNA from 1 species